rnacentral:lncRNA from 1 species
AUUGUGUUGGCUAUAAGAUAAUCGCUUCUAAUACAAGCAAUCAAAAUGUGAACUUUGGAAGUCAAAAGUCACGUUUUAAAAGCAUGUAGUAUCUUUUGAAGGCAUGCGUUGUCGUAAUGUGUGAAGUCUUGCUUGAGAAUGCUCCAGGCACCUAGUUGUAGAAGGAAGAAUAGAAAUUGCGAUGAUAAAAUCUUAAAUAGAAUACUAACAAUGCUCUAAUUAGACCAUAAUAAUGGUAAAUAAACGUAAUCAAAUUCAAAACAACUCAAAGAAAUUUCAAACAAACAAUAAAAUUCUUAAAGAAGUAUUAGAAUGAUCACAAAUUUUACUCAAAUAUAUGUCAAUUCAACCUUAAUUUAAUUCUAGUUAAAAUCCUAUUGAAUUUCACUCAACUUUAGACCAAAUCUAAUUAAAUCUUAAACCCUAAUAAUUCCUAAACCCUAAGUCAAAUCCUAAACAAAUCUUAAAUUAAACCCUAUUCCAAACCCUAAACCCUAAACCAAAUCCUAAAUCAAACCCUAAACCAAAUCCUAAUCCAACCCUAAACCCUAAACCAAACCUUAAAACAAAUUCUAACCAAACCCUAAUCCAAAUCCUAAAUCAAAUCCUAACCAAA